UUAUUUUUAAGAACAAUCGAGUUGAAGCUUUUCUAUAGUUUUCGAUUUUUUUGAUCAGAAAUGAUGGAAGUAGCUACUUCCUACACCUCAAUGGGUAGGAUUCCACAAAAAUGCUCCUGAUCUGUGAAGAAAAGGUCAUCCUACACUAAUCUCGGUUCUAGAUCUACCUUAUAACCAUAGAUCUAUGACAACUGCGAUUGUUAGCUUGACUGUAGCGCAUCACAUUUAGAUCUAUAUUGAACUUGAUUGAAACAACGCCAAGAAGAUGAUAUGGAGACUAAUUUGCCGUGCAUACAAGCUAUUGUAUCAAUAACUUAAAGAGAAACCACCAGAGAAGAAAACGAUCAGUAUCGAUUUUCUUCCAAAUUCAGGCUAAUAUGCUGCAAUAGGAUUAUUUUGAAUAGAAAAGUUUUUCCAAGGAUUUUCUCUUCAAUUUCUGAUGGAUUGAAACAACGCCAAGAAGAUGAUAUGGAGACUAAUUUGCCGUGCAUACAAGCUAUUGUAUCAAUAAGAAUUCAGUGGAUUGAAUUGUUAAAGACUAAGCCAAAGAUAUCUUAUUUUAGAUUAUAGAUGUAUAAGGGAAUAUGAAAUGUACCACUUUACUUUACACAGAAUCUGAUAGCUUAACUUCUGUUAUUCAUAUUGCACCAAUUUA